rnacentral:rRNA from 1 species
AUGGAUGACACGUGGCAUUCGCAAAUCACAAAGCAUCCACCCCAAGAUUCGAUACUGACCUACAACCAACCAAAAGCUCAGUGUGAUGUCUACGCGGUUUGUGGACCUUUCACAAUCUGCAACGAUGACGACCUUCCAAACUGCAUCUGCAUGGAUGGCUUCACCAUAACAUCUCCUCUGGAUUGGGAGCUAGAAGAUCGAACCGCUGGGUGCUUGAGAAAAACUCCAUUGCACUGUAUUACUAACAAGAACACAACCUACUCGACAGAUCAGUUCGCCUCUUUGCCAUGUGUUAGGUUGCCCAAAAAUGCCAGCAAAGUAGAGAUUGCCACAAGCGCCGAAGAGUGUGCACAAAUUUGCCUGAAUAAUUGCUCUUGCACUGCUUAUUCCUUCGGGGAUGAAGGAUGCUAUAUCUUGCAUCACGAAUUGAUCAACAUAGCACAAUUACAAUGUGGUGGCACAACGAAGAAUUCAGAUGGAGAAACACUUUACUUUCGCCUUUCUGCUCAAGAUGUUCAAAGUUCGAAAAAUAACAGAAGGCAGACUGUUGGAGUUGUGGUUGGCACAGGCCUUUCCGCUCUAGGCUUAUUUGGACUCGGCCUCCUCCUAAUGAUUUGGAGAAACAAAAGGAAGAGAUCUCCUCGCAAAACUUACGGUAGUGAUGGGGGGAGAAUCAUUGCAUUUGAAUACACUGACUUGCAACGAGCAACAAAAUAUUUCACUGAUAAAUUGGGGGGAGGUAGUUUUGGUUCUGUGUUCAAGGGGUUUCUAAGUGAUUCUCAUGCCAUAGCAGUGAAGAUGCUUGAAGGUGCAUAUCAAGGAGAGAAGCAAUUCCGAGCCGAAGUGAGCUCGGUUGGAGCUAUCCAACACAUCAAUUUGGUCAAGCUAGUCGGGUUUUGCUGCCAUGGUCCGAAAAGACUGCUGGUUUAUGAACACAUGCCAAAUCGGUCGCUUGACAUCCAUCUUUUUAAAGACGAUUCCACGAUAUUGAAUUGGACUACCAGGUAUCAGAUAGCCCUUGGAGUUGCUAGAGGGUUAGCAUACAUGCAUGAGAGCUGUCGAGACUACAUCAUACAUUGUGAUGUCAAGCCGGAAAACAUACUUCUCGAUGCUUUAUUUGUUCCUAAAAUUGCAGAUUUUGGGAUGGCAAAGAUUUUGGGAAGGGAUUUCAGUCGAGCACUGACCACAGCCAGAGGCACGAUAGGGUACCUUGCCCCUGAAUGGAUUUAUGGUGUUGCUAUCACGGCAAAAGUUGAUGUUUAUAGCUAUGGGAUGGUGUUGCCGGAAAUAAUAUCCGGAAGGAGAAACUCGGAUGCAUCAUGUUCCAGCGGUGGGGACCUUGGUGUUUUUUUUCCCGUGCACGCCGCGCGUAAGCUUCUUGAAGGAGACAUCAAGAGUUUAGUAGAUCACAAAUUGCAAGGUGAUGUCAAUCUUGCUGAGGUUGAACUAGCUUGCAAGGUUGCGUGUUGGUGCAUACAAGAUGAAGAAUUCGACCGGCCAACAAUGGGAGAGGUGGUUCAGAUUCUUGAGGGACAGGUUGAAACCAGGAUGCCACCGAUGCCAAGAUUACUUCAAGCUGUGGCUGGAAGCUCCUGUUCAACGUGUUCGUAA